rnacentral:rRNA from 1 species
UGGGGAAUAUUGCGCAAUGGGCGAAAGCCUGACGCAGCGACGCCGCGUGAGGGAUGAAGGUUUUCGGAUCGUAAACCUCUGUCAGAAGGGAAGAAACCGCACUGUGCUAAUCAGCAGUGCCUUGACGGUACCUUCAAAGGAAGCACCGGCUAACUCCGUGCCAGCAGCCGCGGUAAUACGGAGGGUGCAAGCGUUAAUCGGAAUUACUGGGCGUAAAGCGCACGUAGGCUGCUUUGUAAGUCAGGGGUGAAAUCCCACGGCUCAACCGUGGAACUGCCUUUGAUACUGCUUAGCUUGAAUCCGGUGGAGGGUGGCGGAAUUCCAGGUGUAGGAGUGAAAUCCGUAGAUAUCUGGAGGAACAUCAGUGGCGAAGGCGGCCACCUGGACCGGUAUUGACGCUGAGGUGCGAAAGCGUGGGGAGCAAACAGG